rnacentral:rRNA from 1 species
UACGUAGGGAGCAAGCGUUGUCCGGAAUCAUUGGGCGUAAAGCGCGCGUAGGCGGCCUCAUAAGUCCGUUGUGAAAGUCAAAGGCUCAACCUUUGAAAGCCGAUGGAUACUGUGAGGCUAGAGUCCGGAAGAGGCGAGUGGAAUUCCUGGUGUAGCGGUGGAAUGCGCAGAUAUCAGGAGGAACACCAAUAGCGAGGGCAGCUCGCUGGGACGGUACUGACGCUAAGGCGCGAAAGCGUGGGGAGCGAACAGG